rnacentral:rRNA from 1 species
GAGGAAUAUUGGACAAUGGGCGCAAGCCUGAUCCAGCCAUGCCGCGUGCAGGAAGACGGCCCUAUGGGUUGUAAACUGCUUUUAUACAGGAAGAAACACCCCGACGUGUCGGGGCUUGACGGUACUGUAAGAAUAAGGAUCGGCUAACUCCGUGCCAGCAGCCGCGGUAAUACGGAGGAUCCAAGCGUUAUCCGGAAUCAUUGGGUUUAAAGGGUCCGUAGGUGGACGAUUAAGUCAGAGGUGAAAUCCUGCAGCUCAACUGUAGAAUUGCCUUUGAUACUGGUUGUCUUGAAUCAUUGUGAAGUGGUUAGAAUAUGUGGUGUAGCGGUGAAAUGCAUAGAUAUCACAUAGAAUACCGAUUGCGAAGGCAGAUCACUAACAAUGUAUUGACACUGAUGGACGAAAGCGUGGGGAGCGAAC